rnacentral:rRNA from 1 species
UAACGACUCUCGGCAACGGAUAUCUCGGCUCUCGCAUCGAUGAAGAACGUAGUGAACUGCGAUACUUGGUGUGAAUUGCAGAAUCCCGUGAACCAUCGAGUCUUUGAACGCAAGUUGCGCCCGAAACCUUUGGUCGAGGGCACGUUUGCCUGGGUGUCA